UUUCCUUUGUUUCUCAAUAUAUUUCUUUGACUUGUAUCAUCCUUUAUACUUCCUUUUUGAACUAAUAUAUAGGUCUAGUUAUCUCUUAUAGCGAUACCAGUCCUCUGAUACCAGAUUUUGGAUCCAAAAUGCAGAUUUAUUUAUAGAGAGUUGCCAUCCCAAGUAGCUCAAUCGUGGAGGAUGGAGAUGGGUGGAAUACUUAAAGGCAAUCCAGUUCCAGUUUAAUAGAUGCAAUGCUUUUAGGCCUACUUGAGCUAUGCGAGAUGUAAAUGGAUAAGCCAUUUCGGGCAAUUCAAUGGAAGAACCAAAGAGAUAUGUUUGCAGUGGACAAGUUGUUGAAUCUGCCAAGUCUUCUGCAUCUGUCUCAUCAUGCUGCUUGUUGCUAAAGGAUUAGUUUUAUUCCAAGACUUCUUCCUUCCCUGCACUACAUCUUGGUUGAUGAACGAAGAGUCUUGUGCUGUAGCUUUUCUGCUGAUUAUGGUUUUGAUUCAUAACUAAAAGAAUUCAUGGUUUAAGACAAAAAGUGCUGAAGCACACUAGCCGAGCAAAAGUUGUUGCAAUGACAGGAAUGUAGCUUUUGAC